rnacentral:rRNA from 1 species
GCGCAACCCCUACUUGUUAGUUUGUCCAUCAUUCAGUUGGGCGACUCUAGCGAGACUGCCGGUAAUAAACCGGAGGAAGGUGGGGAUGACGUCAAAUCAUCAUGCCCCUUAUGACCUGGGCUACACACGUGCUACAAUGGUUGGUACAACGAGUUGCGAGUCGGUGACGGCGAGCUAAUCUCUUAAAGCCAAUCUCAGUUCGGAUUGUAGGCUGCAACUCGCCUACAUGAAGUCGGAAUCGCUAGUAAUCGCGGAUCAGCACGCCGCGGUGAAUACGUUCCCGGGCCUU